rnacentral:tRNA from 1 species
AGCCCCGUAGUGUAGUGGCCAAUCAUCUCGGACUUUGGAUCCGGGGACCUCGGUUCGAAUCCGAGCGGGGCUA